CAAAUUUUGGUUAUAGAUUGGGAAACUAGAUGGCGUUCUGUGUCCUCCAUUAUGACUAUCGACAAAGUAACGUGUGAAUUUUGUGUUAACAAAUAUUUCUUAAUUCUUAUGGUUUCAAAGGAUUGUUCAUCUAAAAUUUAACGUUUCCCUUGCCAUCCAAUCCAAACUACUGAACGAGAUACAAUGAACAUAUUAUCCUUCAUAUUGAGAAAUCAAUUUUAACACAAAGGCAAAAAGAAUCCUGAAAUGAAACUUGUAGCAGUGUGUUUUAGUUUAAUGAUGGAUAUCAUCUCACAAUCGCAGUAUCUUAAUCUAUUGGGUGGUGCCAACCAUCAUCUACCAACUUCCCACUUAUCCUUCUUCGUAACUUCACUGUUGAGCUGACCAUUAUGCAUAGACGUCUGCAUCUCAUAUCAUAGCUUUUAAAUCUUCAUCUUCCGAUACCAUCUCAUCCAUUUCUUCUAAGCAGCCUUGACCAGCCUUCAAAUAUUCUGAAAUUUCAACACCCUCACCUAUUUAUGGAUUGCCGAGUGUUCAUCUUCGUAUCUACUGGAAAAUCAUCGUCCAAAACAUGUGCUGAAGUCUGGAUUCCCGUGCGGCAUGAACCACGUGGCAUCCAAUACCGAUAGAUGUCGUUCCAGAAGGUGUAUGGAUCCAAAACAACCCACGGCUAUGGCACAGGACAUCAUCGCGGAACGUCUUAUUUACUGUGGUAUUGUUUUGUUGUUUUGUUCGUGUGAGUUAACCCGUUGGCUGCCACCCACUUUUCUCCCAUUUUUUUUGUAGCUUUAGGGACCGGCCGCACUGUCCUGCCCCAUGGGGUGGGGCAGUUGCAAUGGCCUUCGCCGAAAGGCGCGUAGGCAAUGCACCAGUAGGGACUUCUCUUUGUUCGAUGCGGUGGCGGAAUCUUGAGGGUGUGCAUUCCCUGUAAUGGAUUCCGUCAUCGCAUCAGCCCGGACUUGUCUUCGGACAAGUCCCACCUUGGUCGUGGAUCCUUCAGAUGCGACGCGUAGUUAAGUAGUAACACAACCUAAGGGUUGUAAGGCGUGGCAGCCAACGGGUUAACUAUUUGUGUAUGUGUGUAUAUAUGUAUUUCAUUAUGUAUGUUUGACUUUGUAUUUGUGUUGUAUGUAAACAGUGGUGGAAUUGUGGGAGGCGGUGGGACAAUACAAACAAUUCCUGUCAUA